rnacentral:rRNA from 1 species
UGGGGGAUAUUGCACAAUGGGGGAAACCCUGAUGCAGCAAUGCCGCGUGAGGGAAGAAGGUCUUCGGAUUGUAAACCUAAGUUGUCAGGGACGAAGAAAUGACGGUACCUGAAAAGAAAGCUCCGGCUAACUACGUGCCAGCAGCCGCGGUAAUACGUAGGGAGCAAGCGUUGUCCGGAUUUACUGGGUGUAAAGGGUGCGUAGGCGGGAUGGCAAGUUAGAUGUGAAAUGCCGGGGCUUAACUCCGGAGCUGCAUUUAAAACUGUCGUUCUUGAGUGAAGUAGAGGCAGGCGGAAUUCCUAGUGUAGCGGUGAAAUGCGUAGAUAUUAGGAGGAACACCAGUGGCGAAGGCGGCCUGCUGGGCUUUAACUGACGCUGAGGCACGAAAGCAUGGGGAGCAAACAGG